rnacentral:rRNA from 1 species
CUCUCUGGUGGCGAGUGGCGAACGGGUGAGUAAUGCAUCGGAACGUACCGAGUAAUGGGGGAUAACUGUCCGAAAGGAUGGCUAAUACCGCAUACGCCCUGAGGGGGAAAGCGGGGGAUCGAAAGACCUCGCGUUAUUUGAGCGGCCGAUGUUGGAUUAGCUAGUUGGUGGGGUAAAGGCCUACCAAGGCGACGAUCCAUAGCGGGUCUGAGAGGAUGAUCCGCCACAUUGGGACUGAGACACGGCCCAAACUCCUACGGGAGGCAGCAGUGGGGAAUUUUGGACAAUGGGGGGAACCCUGAUCCAGCCAUGCCGCGUGUCUGAAGAAGGCCUUCGGGUUGUAAAGGACUUUUGUUAGGGAAGAAAAGCCGGGUGUUAAUACCACCUGGUGCUGACGGUACCUAAAGAAUAAGCACCGGCUAACUACGUGCCAGCAGCCGCGGUAAUACGUAGGGUGCGAGCGUUAAUCGGAAUUACUGGGCGUAAAGCGAGCGCAGACGGUUAAUUAAGUCAGAUGUGAAAUCCCCGAGCUCAACUUGGGACGUGCAUUUGAAACUGGUUAACUAGAGUGUGUCAGAGGGAGGUAGAAUUCCACGUGUAGCAGUGAAAUGCGUAGAGAUGUGGAGGAAUACCGAUGGCGAAGGCAGCCUCCUGGGAUAACACUGACGUUCAUGCUCGAAAGCGUGGGUAGCAAACAGGAUUAGAUACCCUGGUAGUCCACGCCCUUAACGAUGAACAUUAGCUGUUGGGACACUAGAUGUCUUAGUAGCGAAGCUAACGCGUGAAAUUGUCCGCCUGGGGAGUACGGUCGCCAGAAUUAAAACUCAAGGAAUUGACGGGGAACCGCACAGCGGUGGAUGAUGUGGAUUAAUUCGAUGCACGCGAAGAACCUUACCUGGUCUUGACAUGUACGGAAUCUCU